GAGAGGUGAGACUAGCAGUGUGUGGCCUGGGACAGGAGUAGAUAAAAGGCAGCCAUGGUGAGCCAGCGCCAUGAGGAGUGGCUGCCUCUUGAAUCCUGUCAGUCUCCGGCAGAUCCGAUUACAUCUGGGACCCUUAAGAGUACUUGAAGCAAACGGCGCUGGUCUAUUUUAAUCCUGCUCCUUCUAGAAACUAGAAACUGUAAGGAGAGUCUUCCUGCUGACAGGUGGCUCCAUAAAAGUCGUCCAUCUGCUGCUAAUUAUGGCAGAAAGAAAAUUCACAGAGCCGAGUUUUCAGUUUAUUUGCUAAAGAUCUCCAAAGGUGUAACUGUCUUCCCAGAUCACAAGGCCAUUCACAGCGUUACAUCUAUAGCGCUUGUUAAUUAUUUAAAUAAUUUACAACUCGGGGUGGCAGCGAGCAUUUAACAGAAGUCUGGCUGGGUGAGGAUGGGUUUGAUGGUUGAUCAUGGCAGAGGAGGAGAAUCUGUUUUCACAGCUCACAGAAUCUAGACUUGUGGGGUUUUGUUGUUCUCCUUACCAUUCUUUCCAAGGGAAACUCAAAAAAGGGUCAGAAUUUGGAAUAUUUUGGACUUGAUUGCUUUGAUUCCCAAACUUCAGUUCAUCUCCCUCUCCUCUUCAUGGUUUCAUCUAUAAAAUGGGUACAAUCUCUCAACUGUUUAACUCAGAAGGCUUUUGUGAUCUUGGAAUAGGAUAAUUUAUUAAAAAGUGUCAUGUAUAGCAUAAUAUAUAAAGAAUUUUAGACCCAUGAAAUAGAUAGAAAUGAGUAAAUCUGAUAGGUCAGAUGAUAAAAUAAUUUAAUAAUAAAAGACAGAUAUUUUUCCCUUCCCUGUAGUUUUCUUUUCCUUCUCCCAUCUAGAUACCAGUAGAAUUUAAAAGUUGCUUCCUUAUUUUUGUUCUUAUAGAAUUAUAUGUAUAUAUAUUUCUCUUUUUCUGCAACAAUAGUCUUACAUUAUAGUUUAGUCAUGGGUUUAUGGAUCCAUCUCCCUCUGCUAGACUGGGAAUGACUUGAGGAUGGGAACAAUAUCUUAUUCAUAGUUAUGUUCCCAGUACCUAGCAGGGCCUGAAACAUCGCAGAUGUUCAAUAUAUGUUAAAUUGAAGAGCCUUGACAUUAAGCAAAUGAAACAAAGGUGAUUUUACUUUAUGAUGAAGUUAUAUUCAAUAUUAACCUUAAUUAGUGGCACUAAAUCUGUCAAAUUCAAUCAUUUUUGACAUAUUUGAUGAUUUUUCUGCCGGUGCUAGAAAUACUAUAAAAUCCAUUUUAAAAGACGUAUAGCUCCAAGUUGGGUGUGAUAAACUGGAACCCUCCUGAUCUGUUCUCUAGGUUCUGUCCUUGGGCAUUACACAGAACCUUACAUAAGACUCUGGUUUUCAGGUAUAAAAUGAAGGUAGGAUGGGGUUACACAGAACCUGAUGUAAGACUCUUGUUUUCAGGUAUAAAAUGAAGGUAGGAUGGGGUUAACCACAUGACUUAAGUUACAUCAAAUACUCUGAUGGCUAUAACGUGGAAGUCAGAAAUUGGUCCCUAGUUGAAUGAUUUGCAGAGAAUAUACCAAAAAUACAGAAAUCAAAUGAAGUCAUUGCACAUGAAAAUGGUAGAACAGUGAGGCAAUGGUGAGGUCAAAGGCUAGGGUCCAUGUCAUGAGGCAAAAGCAGUGCUAGGUCACCCCUGACUCCAUCUGGCCCAUUUUUUGACAUUAUAUUUGGAUGUCCUUUUACCUAGAUUAUAUUGUUGGAAUAUAAUUCAUAUGGUUUUCUAUAUAUUCAAGUUCUCAUAGAAGGGAGGUUAGGAAAAUAAGUUUUGAUAAAAAUGACAUAAAACAGCCCAAAACAAUGAAGAAGUCUAAAAAAGUGGCUAGAAAAGAAUUGGCUGGGAUAGUGAAAAGAUUUUUAUUGCAAAAUGUCCUAUUAGAUAAAUCUGGUUGCAUUUGCUGUUGAUUUUAUUUUUAAAAUGUUUCAUUCUGCCACUGUUCUUUGCAGACUUUCUACUUCUGGUUUUUCAAUGUUGCUCUAUUCUUUGAAAUGUUACAUGCAUAUGGAAGCUGCAAAGUGGGCACUAGAUUGGAAUAGGCCUCUCAAACCCUGCCAUUGUUUGAAUCUCAGUUUUGAACUAAUUGCCUAACUGACUUUGCCUUGAAUACCUCCUGUUCUGGUCUUACCAGCUUCUUACUUGUGACCCAAUCCCUUGAAGCUGAGCUUCACUUGGUCUCAUUUCUCUGUGCAUUUCUUGGUUGCUUUCCUUGAUCUCUCCCUCUAAAUAGAUCUAUUUUCUAGAUCUCUCUCAGCAAGCUGUCAAGCCUGCUGGGUAACCUCUUCUGGCCUGGCUUGGCCUUUGAAAGCAUCACUUCUCUCCUGGUCCUUCUGGCCCCUUGAAUAUGACUUAGCAAGAAACUAGGUGGAUAAGCCUCAUGUUAUGGGAACUUUUAGUUACAACCAGACUUCAGUGAGUCUUCCUCCAAUCUCUCUCACUUUUCACAAUUUUUCCAUUCUCCAUUGUACUGUUGCAUAAGUUCCCAUGGCAGGAUUUUCCAAAAUCUGGUUGUGCUCAAAGCCUUAUAUAUUUGAUUGAAAGAAACAUUGCCAUAGCUCUUUCUUCCUCCUUUUCCUAUAGCUAAUUGUAAGACUUGAGGAAAAUGAAAAGGGGCUCCUACUUGGGAAAGAGCUGGAGAAUUUUUGACUCAUAAUCUGUAUAACAUGAACUAAUGUAUAUUAUACAUUGUUGUAUGAUAUUCCUUAUUGACAUUGUCUCUCUAAAUAUAUGGCUGAUUCCUUAGAAGGUAAAUACUUCUCUCUUGUCUCUCUCUCUCAAGUUUAACACCAUGCCUGCACAUACUGUAGGAUUAUUAAGUAUUUUUUUCUUUAAAAAUUUUUUUUUAAAUUUCAAUAGCUUUUGGGGUACAAGUGGUUUUUGGUUACAUGGAUGAAUUGUAUAGUGGUGAAGUCUGAGAUUUUAGUGUACCCAUCACCCAAGUAGUAUACAUAGUAUCCAAUGUAUAGUUUUUUGAUCACUUACCACCUCCCUUCUGAGUCCCCAAAGUCCAUUAUGUCACUUGUAUGUGUUUGCAUACUCAUAGCUUAGCUCCCACUUAUAAGUGACAAUAUGUGGUAUUUGGUUUUCCAUUCCUGAGUUACUUCACUUAGAAUAAUGGCCUCCAGCUCCAUCCAAGUUGCUGCAAAAUACAUUAUUUCAUUCUGUUUUACAGCUGAGUAGUUUUCCAUGGUGUAUAUUUAACACAUUUUCUUUAUUCACUCAUUGGUUGAUGGGCACUAGGUUGGUUCCAUAUCUUUGCACUUGUAAACUGUGCUGCAAUAAACACAUGUGUGCAGGUGUCUUUUUGAUAUAAUGGCUUCUUUUCCUUUGGGUAGAUACCCAGUAGUGGGAUUGCUGGAUUGAAUGGUAGAUCUACUUUCAGUUCUUAUGCAGUGCACAAGUGCUCCCUCUUCACCACAUCCACCUUCACGUCUAUUGUUUUUUGACUUUUUAAUAAUGUCCCUUUUUGCAGGAAUAAGGUGGUAUCUCAUUGUGGUUUUAAUUUGCAUUUCCCUGAUGAUUAGUGAUAUUGAGCAUUUUGUCAUAUGUUUGUUGGCCAUUUGUAAAUCUUCUUUUAAGAAAUGUCUAUCCAUGUCAUUUGUCCACUUUUGAUGGGAUUUUUUUUUCUUGCUGAUUUGUUUAAGUUACUCGUAUAUUCUGGAUGUCAGUGUAAGAUCAUUAAGUGUUAACUAUAAAAGUCACCAUAGUGUGUCCACUAACUCACACUUGAGUGUUAUUGUUACCGCCAAAUGGCUGCCGAGAAUCAUAUAUUCUUAUCUCUUCAUUUCGUAAAGAUGAGAUACCUUUGUAAAUCAAGGCCAGUGAGGUUAUACUUUUGUUUUUCAAGAAGAAUUAUUAGUGAGAGUAUGCCAAUAACCCUAAUAUGGUAUAAUGAUGUCCUAUGUCAUCCUGAAUAAAUAAACAAUUAUUUGGGGGUGAUUUUGUACUUUAGCAAAGGUUUUUUCUGUGAUUAAGUGAAGUAUAUAUGCAAAAUAUUUUUGGCAAUUAUAUUCUCAACACUCCAGUGUGUGGCUUGAUGUUUUGAGAAAAUACCUUCAUUGUUACUACUCUGUGGAGCUUUUGCCAAGGUACAUUUUGCUUUGCUAGUGUAGAAAUGGCCUUUCUGUGGCCACUAACGAUUUCUUGGCAAUCCUGAAUCAAAAUGUCCUUGCCAGAACCUAAUUUAGGGAAUUGCAUCUUUUUCCCACUAAUUAACUCCAUUGUUUCAAUUAGGAAAGAACUAUUCCUUCCAGCCCAGAACACUGUCUCUGAACAGCAAGAUGGCUUUGAAACGCUUUCACAACGAAGCAAUACUUCCAAUUUGUUAAGCACAUGUGACUCAGCCACACCAUGGAACUCACUAGGAUUGAAGGUCUGCCUCAAGCAACUUAUUCCAGUUCUCUGGCUACGUUUGCUGUAUGCCCUAUACAUCUUAUUUCUACAGGAAUGGCAGUUUGGGGCAUUUGAAAAAGUUGAAGUUCCCUGUUGCAUGUCCUUGGUCCCCAAAUCCAAGGAUUGUAAUUGUCCCCAGACUGUAUUGCUUGCAGAAAGAUAGGACACAGUAUUUGAAACCAAUGGGCUAAAUUUUGCUAAAUAACAUCUUGUUUUAUUUAUUCACAAAUAAAAAUAAUUUUGAGAUACUCUAUAAAUAAUUUUAUUGGAAACAACGUUCCUUUUGGAAUUGAACUGAA
rnacentral:lncRNA from 1 species